CUGAAGCUUGGUGCUUGCACUGGGUGGAUGAGUGGCGAACGGGUGAGUAAUACGUGAGUAACCUGCCCUUGACUCUGGGAUAAGCCUGGGAAACUGGGUCUAAUACUGGAUACGACAUGUCACCGCAUGGUGGUGUGUGGAAAGGGUUUUACUGGUUUUGGAUGGGCUCACGGCCUAUCAGCUUGUUGGUGGGGUAAUGGCUCACCAAGGCGACGACGGGUAGCCGGCCUGAGAGGGUGACCGGCCACACUGGGACUGAGACACGGCCCAGACUCCUACGGGAGGCAGCAGUGGGGAAUAUUGCACAAUGGGCGAAAGCCUGAUGCAGCGACGCCGCGUGAGGGAUGACGGCCUUCGGGUUGUAAACCUCUUUCAGCACGGAAGAAGCGAAAGUGACGGUACGUGCAGAAGAAGCGCCGGCUAACUACGUGCCAGCAGCCGCGGUAAUACGUAGGGCGCAAGCGUUGUCCGGAAUUAUUGGGCGUAAAGAGCUCGUAGGCGGUUUGUCGCGUCUGCUGUGAAAGCCCGGGGCUUAACCCCGGGUGUGCAGUGGGUACGGGCAGACUUGAGUGCAGUAGGGGAGACUGGAAUUCCUGGUGUAGCGGUGAAAUGCGCAGAUAUCAGGAGGAACACCGAUGGCGAAGGCAGGUCUCUGGGCUGUUACUGACGCUGAGGAGCGAAAGCAUGGGGAGCGAACAGGAUUAGAUACCCUGGUAGUCCAUGCCGUAAACGUUGGGCACUA
rnacentral:rRNA from 1 species